UACGUAGGGUGCGAGCGUUGUCCGGAAUUAUUGGGCGUAAAGGGCUCGUAGGCGGUCCAUCGCGUCGGGAGUGAAAAGCUGGGGCUUAACCCCAGUCCUGCUUCCGAUACGGGUGGACUAGAGGUAGGCAGGGGAGAACGGAAUUCCUGGUGUAGCGGUGAAAUGCGCAGAUAUCAGGAGGAACACCGGUGGCGAAGGCGGCAUCCUGGACCGGCAUUGACGCUGAGGCGCGAAAGCCAGGGGAGCAAACGGGG
rnacentral:rRNA from 1 species